UACGUAGGUGGCAAGCGUUGUCCGGAAUUAUUGGGCGUAAAGCGCGCGCAGGUGGUUUCUUAAGUCUGAUGUGAAAGCCCACGGCUCAACCGUGGAGGGUCAUUGGAAACUGGGGAACUUGAGUGCAGGAGAGAAGAGUGGAAUUCCACGUGUAGCGGUGAAAUGCGUAGAGAUGUGGAGGAACACCAGUGGCGAAGGCGACUCUUUGGCCUGUAACUGACACUGAGGCGCGAAAGCCAGGGGAGCGAACGGG
rnacentral:rRNA from 1 species